CACGAAGAGAACUGAAUGUCUCACAACCUUGUGAGAGAGAACUCAGACAAAGAAUCAGUGCAAUGUGGUCAGUGUUACAUCAGAGUUACAGGCAAGGUACGACAGACAGAACGGAGAAGAAAAUGUUUCAGUCCAUCUGGAACAAACUGUGGGAAGAUAUUAUACUGAAGAGGACCUUAAAGAAAGGGACAGAAACAAGCUGUUCCAGCAGGAGGAAGAGUACAUUACAGGCCAGAGGAGGGCACAGCCUGUGCAGUCCCAUAGGCUGGGUACGAGAGAGACCUGGGGGGUGGGGGAGAAAGUGGCUGGAGAGCAUGGCAAGGGCCAGAUCAUGGGAAGUCUGGAAUGACAUCCUAGAGAAUUCAGAUUUUGUCCUGAUGCCAAUGGGAAGCCACCAAAAGACUCUCAACAGUGUCCAUCUCUCCUCCCGAGGAAGUGAGUUCCGUGAUGGUGAAGAUCUUUGACUAUCUUGUUCACCAACAAGUUCUAAGCCAGAACAGUGCCAGACACACAGGCAUAUUUUAUUGUGACAUACCUCAGACUUCUGGCGUGUAUGGAAGGAAGAGGUGCCUUCUCUGGAGGUCUCUUUGACCGAAGAUCUUGCCACAGUCAUCUCUGGAGGGAGCUGUUCUCCAGGCUGGAAGUAAAAUUUAAAAGGAUUUAUAAGAGCAUCCUGUUCCUAGGGAUGGAACUCAUCAUGGCCUUUAUUUGGUAGAACUAGGACCAUAACCAGCUAAAAUAAAAAAUGUUAGUUGGCUAAAAUACAAAUAGUCCCAUAAAAGUGAAUAAUCUGAUGAAUGUAAUAUAAGUCAAAUUUCACACAGAUGGAAAGUAAAAUUCUCAUUAAAGUUAAGGCAAGCAGAGAACAAAUUAGUCUGAAAAUAGUUCAAUUAAUUAUUAAAAACAAAAAAAAUUACCAUUCUAAUAUCUAGACAGUCAUGGUUCUGAGCGGCCCUCUGAUUAGGAAUUCUAUUAGUUUAUCUGAAAUUUCUCUAGCAGAUUUUAAGUCUGAGUUCUCCAAAAUGAACUGUGCAGUUCCAAAAGUAUAUUUCAUGCAGGACUUAUA
rnacentral:lncRNA from 10 species